rnacentral:sRNA from 1 species
UAACACAAAUGUCGCAGUAAUAAAUGCGAGUGUGCUUGCACAAUGAGCAUUGAGUACUUGCGACAUGCAAAUACAUGAGGAAGUAGUGCAAUAGCACGGAUUCCGAAUGUAUGAAGAAUUGCGAAAGUUGCAUGCAACGGAGCAAUUCGGGGUGUUA